GGAGCCUUGGCGCAAUGGUAGCGCGUUGGUUUUCGGUCAGAAAGCAUAAACACCAAAGGUACACUUCACCAAUCACCUCUCGUUCCAACACCAUCUAACAGUUCAUCAGGUUGUGGGUUCGAUCCCCAUGGGCUUCG